UACAGAGGGUGCAAGCGUUGUUCGGAAUUAUUGGGCGUAAAGGGCGCGUAGGCGGUGCGGUAAGUCUGUAGUGAAAAUCUCUGGGCUCAACUCAGAGUCUGCUGCAGAAACUGCCGUGCUUGAGUGUGGGAGAGGUGAGUGGAAAUUCCCGGUGUAGCGGUGAAAAUGCGUAGAUAUCGGGAGGAACACCAGAGGCGAAGGCGGCGACCUGGACAGAUACUGACACUCAACUGCGAAAAGCGUGGGGAGCAAACAGG
rnacentral:rRNA from 1 species